UACAGAGGGUGCAAGCGUUAAUCGGAAUUACUGGGCGUAAAGCGUGCGUAGACGGUAGCGUAAGUCGGGUGUGAAAGCCCCGGGCUCAACCUGGGAAUUGCAUUCGAGACUGCUCUGGCUAGGGUGCGGAAGAGGGAAGCGGAAUUUCCGGUGUAGCGGUAGAAAUGCGUAGAUAUCGGAAGGAACACCAGUGGCGAAAAGCGGCUUCCUGGUCCAGCACCGACGUCAGGCACGAAAGCGUGGGGAGCAAACAGG
rnacentral:rRNA from 1 species